CAUUUACAGUCUCCAGUGAAAAAUAUGUCUGACCAUGGAGAGAUAUUACCUUGCUUGGAAAUAGGGUUUUAGGUUGGUGACA